UUACAAUGGAGAGUUUGAUCCUGGCUCAGGAUGAACGCUAGCGGCAGGCUUAAUACAUGCAAGUCUAGGGGGCAGCAAUGUCACCGGCGUACGGGUGCGUAACACGUAUGCAACCUACCCGUCAUUGGGGGAUAGCUCGGGGAAACUCGAAUUAAUACCGCAUACGACCUACGGGUGAAAGGGGGCGCAAGCUCUUGCUAGAAGAUGAGCCUAAAUCAGAUUAGCUAGUUGGUAGGGUAAAGGCCUACCAAGGCGACGAUCUGUAACUGGUCUGAGAGGAUGAUCAGUCACACUGGAACUGAGACACGGUCCAGCCUCCUACGGGAGGCAGCAGUGGGGAAUAUUGGACAAUGG
rnacentral:rRNA from 1 species